rnacentral:tRNA from 1 species
UCCCUGGUGGCUCAGCUGGUAAAGAAUCUGCCUGAAAUGCAGGAGACCCUGGUUUGAUUCCUGGGUCGGGAA